rnacentral:rRNA from 1 species
CCGUAUCAAUACGGUACUGGCGCACGGCGUACGGGUGCGUACCACGUGGGUAAUCUGCCCUCUGAUGGGGAAUAACCCGCCGAAAGGCGGGCUAAUUCCGCAUAACAUUCCUUGGACUCCGGUUCUAGGAUUCUAAGGCGUAAGUCGUCGGAGGUGGAGCCCGCGCACGAUUAGCUAUUUGGUGAGUUAAUGGCUCACCAAGGCUAUGAUCGUUAGCUGGUCUGAUAGGAUGGCCAGAUGAAGCUUCUCGGAGUGUAAACCCCUUUCGACCGGGACGAAUACCUCGCAAGAGGGGUGACGGUACCGGUAUAAGAAGCCCCGGCUAACUACGUGCCAGCAGCCGCGGUAAGACGUAGGGGGCCAGCGUUGCUCGGAAUUACUGGGUGUAAAGGGUUCGUAGGCGGUGUGGCAAGUCGGGAGUGAAAUCUCUGGGCUUAACUCAGG